CGCGUAGGCGGCCUGCUAAGUCGAACGUGAAAUCCCCGGGCUCAACCCGGGAACUGCGUCCGAUACUGGCUGGCUUGAAUCCGGGAGAGGGAUGCGGAAUUCCAGGUGUAGCGGUGAAAUGCGUAGAUAUCUGGAGGAACACCGGUGGCGAAGGCGGCAUCCUGGACCGGUAUUGACGCUGAUGCGCGAAAGCCAGGGGGAGCAAACGG
rnacentral:rRNA from 1 species